rnacentral:rRNA from 1 species
GAUGAACGCUGGCGGCGUGCCUAAUACAUGCAAGUCGAGCGAACAGACGAGGAGCUUGCUCCUCUGACGUUAGCGGCGGACGGGUGAGUAACACGUGGAUAACCUACCUAUAAGACUGGGAUAACUUCGGGAAACCGGAGCUAAUACCAGAUAAUAUAUUGAACCGCAUGGUUCAAUAGUGAAAGACGGUUUUGCUGUCACUUAUAGAUGGAUCCGCGCCGCAUUAGCUAGUUGGUAAGGUAACGGCUUACCAAGGCAACGAUGCGUAGCCGACCGGAGAGGGUGAUCGGCCGCACUGGAACUGAGACACGGUCCAGACUCCUACGAGAGGCAGCAGUAGGGAAUCUUCCGCAAUGGGCGGAAGCCUGACGGAGCAACGCCGCGUGAGUGAUGAAGGUCUUCGGAUCGUAAAGCUCUGUUAUUAGGGAAGAACAAAUGUGGAAGUAACUGUGCACGUCUUGACGGUACCUAAUCAGAAAGCCACGGCUAACUACGUG